ACGUCAGAAAAGACACACACACACCCCGUCCUCUCAGCAAAGCACCAGCUCUGUGCGUACGUGGGUGUGUGCGUGCGCCCCCCCCCCACCUGUAUUUGGAAGCCCCGCUUCGCCGCUGCAUCAGCGAAGGCCGGCUUUGGAGGACAGAGGGGGAACAGAGAGGAAGAAAGGGGUAGAGCGUCUCCUCGCCGGAAGCGGAAGCAGGGAGCGCUUGGGGGUCACGUGCUUCCCCCUCUGUCUUUACGUUCAGCGGUGACCGCGCUGGAUGGUGGCCUGUCUGGGCUUUUUCUGUCUCCGGAGGACCUGGAAGGCGGUGAGGAGGGAGAAGAGGAAGAGGCGGGGUUUUUCUGCCUCCGGAGGACCUGGAAGGUGGUGAGGAGGGAGAAGAGGAAGAGGCGGGGGGGCGGUCGUGGAAGGCUUUGUCUUUGGAGGGGAGGGUGUCGGGGGUGUGUUUUUAAAACCAGCCCCAUUAUCCUGUGCACUCCUGGUUACCAACCGCUCCGGAUCCCUUGCAGGAACGCGGAUGUUUCGGCACCCGGUUAUUUGUUUAUUUAUUUUAUUUAUUUUCCCCCCCCCGGCGCUCCCUUUGACUUCACGAUCCAUGGGGGGGGGUCCCUUCCAGUCUGGCCAUUAAUCGAUUAUUAUAUAACACCCCCCAAAACACCACCCCCUUUCUUCCUGAGCGAUUCGGAUUUCCGACUUCAUCCUACUCUCUCUUUUGUGCCUCGCCCCACUCCCAACCUUAGAAACAGCCUCCUGGAAAACACACCCACAGAUUUGGGAGCCCCCCCUCCGCCGCCCACUCUCCUUGUGAAAGCUGAAGACAGAGGGGGAAGAGAGAGGGAGAGGAAAGGGGUAGAGCGUCUUCUCGAAGGAAGCGGAAGCAGUGGCGCUCCCCAGCCCCCCCGUCAUGCUUUCUCCCCUUUGUCUCUAUGGUCAGCGGUGAAGGCGCGCUGGGAGGGCAGCGUCCCCAGUCGAUUCCUGCCUCUGGAGGAUCUGGAAGGAGGUGAGCCUUUUGCAGCGGGGGGUGAAGGGAGGAGGAAAGGGGAUGUUUGGGGGAGGUGGGGUUAA
rnacentral:lncRNA from 1 species